rnacentral:piRNA from 1 species
GGAAGAGGAACCGGAGAUCUUGUGAC